AUGGAGGGAGGAGGCGUUCCUUCCGUCCAGGACGUGUGGGACUGGGAGGUGCUGCCUGACGAACACAGGAGCUUCUACGCCGAGACCAGGGCCGCAUCCCGUGCCCACGCCGGCGGCGAGGUUCUCGCCAAUCACGAAACCGAGGAACCGAUCCUGCCUCCUCCCUCACAAGUGGACGCUGAUAAUGUUGACGAGUGCAAGGACAUCGGCGUCGACGUCGUGCCGGCCGGGGCCAGAUCAACCCAAGAGGAUGAGGAACCCGCGGCGCCGGAGCUGCUAGUCUCUGACGGCAACGGACAGGACAAGUUCCAGACCUGUGGCGACGCCAAGGAGGUGGACGACGAUGGCAAGCAGAUGGCGGCGGCAGAGGCAGUGGAGUCAGAGCUUCCUCCUCACGAGUUCGCCGCGGGAGAGGAGGAAGAGGGCAAGAAGGAGGAGGACGCGGCGCCGCCGGAGUGCGUGGUGUUCAGCGUGGGGAAGCUGCGCGUGAACGCGGUCGGGGCGCUGUGCUCGUUCGGGGUGGCGGCGGCCACCGUCUGCGUUUUCCUCGUCGGCGGCAGGCUGCAGCACCAGAAGCAGCACCAGCAGCAGCAGCAGCAGAAGAUCCAGCUGCAGUUCCUUGGCGAUGAUAAGAGAAUUCAGCAGGUGGUGCAGCAGACAUCGAGGCUGAACCAGGCCAUGUCAUCCAUGAUGGGGGCAGGCGCGUCCACGAGGGCCAACAUAUCGUUCGGUGGCUUCUACGACGGCUUCUGA
rnacentral:rRNA from 1 species